rnacentral:rRNA from 1 species
AAAGCUGGUCAUAGUGACCCGGUCUUCCUAUUUAGAAAAGGAGAUCGAUCAACGGAUAAAAGGUACUCUAGGGAUAACAGAGUAAUAUCCCCCGCGAGUUCGCAUCUACGGGGAUGCUUACUACUUCGAUGUCGACUUACCACAUCCUGGAUACGAAGCAAUAUCCAAGGGUUCGGGUGUUCACCGAUUAAAGUGGUUCGUGAG